AUUGAACGCUGGCGGCAGGCCUAACACAUGCAAGUCGAACGAGUGGCGGACGGGUGAGUAAUGUCUGGGAAACUGCCCGAUGGCGGGGGAUAACUCUGGAAACGGUAGCUAAUACCGCGUACCAUAGGAUGAGCCCACGUGGGAUUCGGUAGUUGGUGAGGUAAAGGCUCACCAAGCCGACGAUCACUAGCUGGUCUGAGAGGAUGACCAGCCACACGGGGACUGAUACACGGCCCAGACUCCUACGGGAGGCAGCAGUGGGGAAUAGUGCGCAAUUGGGGCAACCUGACGCAGCCAUGCCGCGUGAAUGAAGAAGGCCUUCGGGUUGUAAAGUUCUUUCGGUAGCGAGGCGUUAACUACAGAAGAAGCACCGGCUAACUCCGUGCCAGCCGCCGCGGUAAUAC
rnacentral:rRNA from 1 species